AUCAAGUUGUUUGGCUAGAGAUAGCAUGGUAGUACUAUUUACAUGGUAAAUUACUAAAAUGAUCAUAUUUGUGACAAUGCUUCUAGCUGUACGUGCCUACAUGGCUUGUAUUCCUCUAGGUUUGCACCCAUAAGAUCUUUCUCAAAUUGCUACUGUCGAAAUAUAGGUUUCAUAUAGAUGAAGAACUUCUUGUGUGAAUCCAUAAAAGAAAACACUGAUGAGAAAAUGGACUGAAUUCUGGCCAAACACGACGAGGACCCCAUGUGCAAAUUUCAACUCAUUGGUAUGGAUAGCUCACCCGCUUCUAGCUUCGCUCUUCAGGCUCCCUUGAUAAUAACAUCUUCCUUUCCAUCCCCGCUCUGACAAAGUAAGAGCUAAAUUACACAUGUGAGACAGUAAAUAAACAAAAGAAGGACAAUGAAUGCAACAUGGACAGAACUCAUAUCUUAUAAUGAACCACACCUUCCAAAAAACAUAUCCACCCUAGCUGCAUGGCAGACUAUAAUAAUUGGCUUGCACCAGAUGCAUGACAUUGCUUUGUUUGUUAGCCUCAGCAACACAACAAAGGCAUACAAGAAAACAAAAUGAUUCAAUAGGCUGCUGCUAAGACCAUGGACAAAAUAUAGAAGCAAACAAAUAAAGCAAGGAAAGGAACAAAAGUAGCAAUCCUAGGCCCUACCAGGAGGAAAAAAGGCACAUAUUUAUACACCAGUAAAAAACAAGCAAUGAAGGCAAGGAAACAACCAAAAUUAAGUGCACAGAGAGAAUAAUAGUCUUACUCUCUACCAGGAGCAAGACAUAAAAAAGGCACUCAUUGGCCACUCCCCAUAAGAGGAGCAGAGAGGAGGACAAGGGUCGACCUGCAGAUCCGUGGCGCCCGGGCACCCCUAAGAUUGGUUGGUCAGAGUUGCGUUGCAUCAUCAUCAGAAUCAUUCAUCACCAUGAUUAUCGUCAGUGUAUCUCAGAAGAAGAGAGGAGAAAAAAAUGGACCUGGUAAGCGAACCUGAGGCCUUCCCCCUGGCCUGCCCCAUCAGAUCCGCGCUCGUCAACGGCC
rnacentral:lncRNA from 1 species